rnacentral:rRNA from 1 species
ACUCCUACGGGAGGCAGCAGUGGGGAAUUUUGGACAAUGGGCGCAAGCCUGAUCCAGCCAUGCCGCGUGAGUGAAGAAGGCCUUCGGGUUGUAAAGCUCUUUCGGCCGGGAAGAAAUCGCGCGCUCUAACAUAGCGCGUGGAUGACGGUACCGGACUAAGAAGCACCGGCUAACUACGUGCCAGCAGCCGCGGUAAUAC